CCGAGUUAUGUGCUCAAAUAACCCUUCUGUGGACCUGAAUCAAACCGUUGCCUCGGCGGGCGGUCCCCUUGCCGGCACCCCCACGUGGGUAUAGGGCAGGGGACCAGACAGUCCGGCACGCUUCCGGCGUCCGGCGCCAGCCGCUGGCCUUAAAUAAAUUAAACUCUAGUAACUUUACCUUCUGAGUUUUAAUACCAAAAAAUAAGUCA
rnacentral:misc_RNA from 1 species